rnacentral:rRNA from 1 species
UGCUGGAGGUAUCAGAAGUGCGAAUGCUGACAUAAGUAACGAUAAAGCGGGUGAAAAGCCCGCUCGCCGGAAGACCAAGGGUUCCUGUCCAACGUUAAUCGGGGCAGGGUGAGUCGACCCCUAAGGCGAGGCCGAAAGGCGUAGUCGAUGGGAAACGGGUUAAUAUUCCCGUACUUGGUGUUACUGCGAAGGGGGGACGGAGAAGGCUAUGUUGGCCGGGCGACGGUUGUCCCGGUUUAAGCGUGUAGGUGUGUGUUCCAGGUAAAUCCGGUUCACUUUAACACUGAGGCGUGAUGACGAGGCACUACGGUGCUGAAGCAACAAAUGCCCUGCUUCCAGGAAAAGCCUCUAAGCAUCAGGUAACAUCAAAUCGUACCCCAAACCGACACAGGUGGUCAGGUAGAGAAUACCAAGGCGCUUGAGAGAACUCGGGUGAAGGAACUAGGCAAAAUGGUGCCGUAACUUCGGGAGAAGGCACGCUGACACGUAGGUGAAGUGAUUUACUCAUGGAGCUGAAGUCAGUCGAAGAUACCAGCUGGCUGCAACUGUUUAUUAAAAACACAGCACUGUGCAAACACGAAAGUGGACGUAUACGGUGUGACGCCUGCCCGGUGCCGGAAGGUUAAUUGAUGGGGUCAGCGCAAGCGAAGCUCCUGAUCGAAGCCCCGGUAAACGGCGGCCGUAACUAUAACGGUCCUAAGGUAGCGAAAUUCCUUGUCGGGUAAGUUCCGACCUGCACGAAUGGCGUAAUGAUGGCCAGGCUGUCUCCACCCGAGACUCAGUGAAAUUGAACUCGCUGUGAAGAUGCAGUGUACCCGCGGCAAGACGGAAAGACCCCGUGAACCUUUACUAUAGCUUGACACUGAACAUUGAGCCUUGAUGUGUAGGAUAGGUGGGAGGCUUUGAAGUGUGGACGCCAGUCUGCAUGGAGCCGACCUUGAAAUACCACCCUUUAAUGUUUGAUGUUCUAACGUGGACCCGUAAUCCGGGUUGCGGACAGUGUCUGGUGGGUAGUUUGACUGGGGCGGUCUCCUCCUAAAGAGUAACGGAGGAGCACGAAGGUUGGCUAAUCCUGGUCGGACAUCAGGAGGUUAGUGCAAUGGCAUAAGCCAGCUUGACUGCGAGCGUGACGGCGCGAGCAGGUGCGAAAGCAGGUCAUAGUGAUCCGGUGGUUCUGAAUGGAAGGGCCAUCGCUCAACGGAUAAAAGGUACUCCGGGGAUAACAGGCUGAUACCGCCCAAGAGUUCAUAUCGACGGCGGUGUUUGGCACCUCGAUGUCGGCUCAUCACAUCCUGGGGCUGAAGUAGGUCCCAAGGGUAUGGCUGUUCGCCAUUUAAAGUGGUACGCGAGCUGGGUUUAGAACGUCGUGAGACAGUUCGGUCCCUAUCUGCCGUGGGCGCUGGAGAACUGAGGGGGGCUGCUCCUAGUACGAGAGGACCGGAGUGGACGCAUCACUGGUGUUCGGGUUGUCAUGCCAAUGGCACUGCCCGGUAGCUAAAUGCGGAAGAGAUAAGUGCUGAAAGCAUCUAAGCACGAAACUUGCCCCGAGAUGAGUUCUCCCUGAGACUUUAGGUCUCCUGAAGGAACGUUGAAGACGACGACGUUGAUAGGCCGGGUGUGUAAGCGCAGCGAUGCGUUGAGCUAACCGGUACUAAUGAACCGUGAGGCUUAACCUUACAACGCCGAAG